CGAGUAGGCGGAUAUCUAAGUCCGAUGUGAAAGAUCAGGGCUCAACCCUGAGAGUGCAUCGGAAACUGGGUAUCUUGAGGACAGGAGAGGAAAGUGGAAUUCCACGUGUAGCGGUGAAAUGCGUAGAUAUGUGGAGGAACACCAGUGGCGAAGGCGACUUUCUGGACUGUAUCUGACGCUGAGGAGCGAAAGCGUGGGGAGCAAACAGGAUUAGAUACCCUGGUAGUCCACGCUGUAAACGAUGAGUGCUAGGUGUAGAGGGUAUCGACCCCUUCUGUGCCGCAGUUAACACAAUAAGCACUCCGCCUGGGGAGUACGGCCGCAAGGUUGAA
rnacentral:rRNA from 1 species